GGAAAAACGUAAAAUCAAAUAUCAAAAGCCUUAAAGUACAUUUUAGCUCUUAUUUGAUGGUGAUUGGAUCAAAGAAAUCUCCUCACAGGGGCUGCAAAUCUGUGGAAUGGGAACUUUGUGUGACAUCGACUUUCAGAGGAAUAGCUAGUCAGUAGAGAUAUGCUGUGGGCAACCCUUUUUUGGUUGGUGGCCUGUGGACAACCCUCUUGAGGAUGGUGGCUUGUGGACAAACCUUGGAUGGUGUCCUGCAGACAAGCUUUGGAAUUAAGUGGCCUUUGGACAAGCCUUGGAAUGGUGGCUUGGGGACAAGCCUAGGAUGGUGGUCUGUGAACAAGCCCUGGAAUGGUGGCCUGUGGACAAUCCUUUGAUGGUGGCCCAUGGACAAGUCUUAGAAUGGUGGCUUGAGGACAAACCUUUGAAUGGGACUGGCCUUGGAUGGUGGCCUGUGAAAAAGCCUUGGAUGGUGGCUUAUGGACAAGCCUUGGAAGGUAGCCUGUAGGCAAGUCUUACCACAGGGCCGCCUGAUUGGAAGAUUAGCUAUAGAAAAAGAAGAAUGUUGGAUCUUGGAUGGGAAAGGUCAGUGGAGGGAGCUGGAUACCAAGUGGUGAAACAGAGGACCAAAGUGCAAUAGAUCUAACCCUAAGCAUCACAACUGGACAGCACAAGCCAAGCAACAAAACUGAAGAGUACAAACAUCAAUGACACAGACCCAUCUUGGUGGAAGAACCCUGGCGAUUGGCGCUGGAAGCAAGUACAAGAUUAUUUAUCAUUUCCAUCAAUUCUAGAUUUUAUUUCAGGCCCAGCCCGGGAGGUCAUUGAACAGGGGUGCAGCUGGCCUGGGGUUUUCCUCUUAAGGGCAAGUGGAUGUACAGGGAGGUUUUUCACCCAGCUGUUGUUCCACCACCCCCAUUCAUUAAGUUCUUUCUUUUUCUAGUUCAUAAUAAUGAGAA